UCUGAAACUGAAAUAUGCAAAGGCUACGGCGCGGAUGGGUUGUAGGACAUGAAAACAAUAUGGCACUAGACUUAUGGGACGAACACAAGGACACUUGAAACUAAGGAUAGAUGUGAACCUAACGGUAUGUCUGAAGCUUUGAUUACCACUUGAGGAGAACAAGUGUGACCCGAUCUUCCGAAAGUUUCACGUAGCUAUCGAUUUGGUGGAAACGAGAGACAUAUCAAUCCAGCUUGCGAACAACACAAUUCGAAACCCUGCAAUUUUUUUUAUUUUUUUUUGAUAUUUUUCUUUUACUUAGGAGCACUCAAGAAGUAACCACAGAAAAUUUGAGCUUAAACAAGUGAAAGACCUGGCCUGUGGAAUUUUUUGAAGAUUGUGAAAAAUAUGAAAAAAACCUUAGGAGGUGAAAACUCAAACUUCAGAGGCGAAUUUGGGGAUUCUAAAAUUAUCGAACUCGCCAAUGGCAAUAGACAGAUCCAAAAAUUUUUUCUGAUCGAUUCUGGUAUAUGGAACGUCAAAAUUAGAGUUCGUAUGCGAAGGUUAUGGCUGUUUUACGAACGGACUCCGAAUUAGAUAACAAAAGGGUCCGAAAGUGAGAAACAUUUGCGGUGGUGGCUAGAAAUUGAUGGAAACAGUGGGAAAAAAUACACAAACUGGACUGUAACAAAACCUAACCAGUAUCAAGACGUCGACCAGGACACAAACUCAACACUACGGACUCUGAAACUGAAAUAUGCAAAGGCUAUGGCGCGGAUGGGUUGUAGGACAUGAAAACAAUAUGGCACUAGACUUAUGGGAUGAACACAAGGACACUUGAAACUAAGGAUAGAUGUGAACCUAACGGUAUGUCUGAAGCUUUGAUUACCACUUGAAGAGAACAAGUGUGGCCCGAUCUUCCGAAAGUUUCUCGUAACUAUCGAUUUGGUGGAAACGAGAGACAUAUCAAUCCAGCUUGCGAACAACACAAUUCGAAACCCUGCAAUUCUUUUUAUUUUUAUUUUUUGAUAUUUUUCUUUUACUUAGGAGCACUCAAGAAGUAACCACAGGAAAUUUGAGCUUAAACAAGUGAAAGACGUGGCCUGUGGAAUUUUUUGAAGAUUGUGAAAAAUAUGAAAAAAAUUUAGGAGGUGAAAACUGAAACUUCAGAGGCGAAUUUGGGGAUUCUAAAAUUGUCGAACCUGCCAGAGGCGGAGAUAGACACAUCCAAAAAAUUGUUCUGAACGAUUUUGAUAUAUGGAACGUCAAAAUUAGAGUUCGUAUGCGAAAGUUAUGGCUGUUUUACGAACGGACUCCGAAUUAGAGGACAAAACGGUGAGGAAGUGAGAAAAAUUUGCGGUGGUGGCUAGAAAUUGAUGGAAACAGUGGGAAAAAACACACAAACUGGACUGUAACAAGACCUAACCAGUAACAAGACCUCCACCACGGACUCUAAAACUGAAAUAUGCAGAGGCUAUGGCGCGGAUGGGUUGUAGGAUAUGAAAACAAUAUGUCACUAGACUUAUGGGACGAACACAAGGACACUUGAAACUAAGGAUAGAUGUGAACCUAACGGUAUGUCUGAAGCUUUGAUUACCACUUGAGGAGAACAAGUGUGACCCGAUCUUCCGAAAGUUUCUCGUAACUAUCGAUUUGGUGGAAACGAGAGACAUAUCAAUCCAGCUUGCGAACAACACAAUUCGAAACCCUGCAAUUAUUUUUAUUUUUUUUGAUAUUUUUCUUUUACUUAGGAGGACUCAAGAAGUAACCACAGGAAAUUUGAGCUUAAACAAGUGAAAGACGUGGCCUGUGGAAUUUUUUGAAGAUUGUGAAAAAUAUGAAAAAAAAAUUUAGGACGUGAAAACUCAAACUUCAGAGGCGAAUUUGGGGAUUCUAAAAUUGUCGAACUCGCCAAAGGCGAGGAUAGAUAGAUCCAAAAAAAUUUUCUGAUCGAUUCUGGUAUAUGGAACGUCAAAAUUGGAGUUCGUAUGCGAAAGUUAUGGCUGUUUUACGAACGGAAUCCGAAUUAGAGGACAAAACGGUCCUGAAGUGAGAAAAAUUUGCGGUGUUGGCUAGAAAUUGAUGGAAACAGUGGGAAAAAACACACAAACUCGACUGCAACAAGACCUAACCAGUAUCAGGACGUCGACCAGGACACAAACUCAACACUACGGACUCUGAAACUGAAAUAUGCAAAGGCUAUGGCCCGGAUGGGUUGUAGGACAUGAAAACAAUAUGGCACUAGACUUAUGGGACGAACACAAGGACACUUGAAACUAAGGGUAGAUGUGAACCUAACGGUAUGUUUGAAGCUUUGAUUACCACUUGAGGAGAACAAGUGUGGCCCGAUCUUCCGAAAGUUUCUCAUAACUAUCGAUUUGGUGGAAACGAGAGACAUAUCAAUCCAGUUUGCGAACAAUACAAUUCGAACCAUGCAAUUCUUUUUUUUUUGAUAUUUUUCUUUUACUUAGGAGCACUCAAGAAGUAACCAUAGGAAAUUUGAGCUUAAACAAUUGAAAGACGUGGCCUGUGGAAUUUUUUGAAGAUUGUCAAAAAUAUGAAAAAAACUAGGAGGUGAAAACUCAAACUUCGGAGGCAAAUUUGGGGAUUCUAAAAUUGUCGAACCCGCCAAAGGCGGGGAUAGACAGAUCCAAAAAUUUUUUCUGAUCGAUUUUGAUAUAUGGAACGUCAAAAUUAGAGUUCGUAUACGAAAGUAAUGGCUGUUUUACGAACGAACUCCGAAUUAGAGGACAAAACGGUCCGGAAGUGGAAAAAAUUUGCGGUGGUGGCUAGAAAUUGAUGGAAAUAGUGGGAAAAAACACAUAAACUGGACUGUAACAAGAUCUAACCAGUAACAAGACCUCGACCAGGACACAAACUCAACACUACGGACUCUGAAACUGAAAUAUGCAAAGGCUAUGGCGCGGAUGGGUUGUAGGACAUGAAAACAAUAUGGCACUAGACUUAUGGGACGAACACAAGGACACUGGAUAGAUGUGAACCUAACGGUAUUUCUGAAGCUUUGAUUACCACUUGAGGAGAACAAGUGUGGCCCGAUCUUCCGAAAGUUUUUGGUAACUAUCGAUUUGGUGGAAACGAGAGACAUGUCAAUCCAGCUUGUCAACAACACAAUUCGAAACCCUGCAAUUCUUUUUUUUUGAUAUUUUUCUUUACUUAGGACCACUCAAGAAGUAACCACAGGGAAUUCGAGCUUAAACAAGUGAAAGACGUGGCCUGUGGAAUUUUUUGAAGAUUGUGAAAAAUAUGAAAAAAAAACUUUAGGAGGUGAAAGCUCAAACUUCAGAGGCGAAUUUGGGGAUUCUAAAAUUGUCGAACCCGCCAACGGCGGGCAUAGACUGAUCUAAAAAUUUUUUCUGAUGGAUUGUGAUAUAUGGAACGUCAAAAUUAGAGUUCGUAUGCGAAAGUUAUGGCUGUUUUACGAAUGGACUCCGAAUUAGAGGACAAAACAGUGAGGAAGUGGGAAAAUUUUGCGGUGGUGGCUAGAAAUUGAUGGAAACAGUGAGAAAAAACACACAAACUAGACUGUAACAAGACCUAACCAGUAACAAGACCUCGACCAUGGACUCUGAAACUGAAAUAUGCAAAGGCUAUGGCGCAGAUGGGUUGUAGGACAUGAAAACAAUAUGGCACUAGACUUAUGGGACGAACACAAGGACACUUGAAACUAAGGAUAGUUGUGAACCUAACGGUAUGUCUGAAGCUUUGAUUACCACUUGAGGAGAACAAGUGUGACCCGAUCUUCCGAAAGUUUCACGUAACUAUCGAUUUGGUGGAAACGAGAGACAUAUCAAUCCAGCUUGCGAACAACACAAUUCGAAACCCUGCAAUUUUUUUUAUUUUUUUUUUGAUAUUUUUCUUUUACUUAGGAGCACUCAAGAAGUAACCACAGGAAAUUUAAGCUUAAACAAGUGAAAGACCUGGCCUGUGGAAUUUUUUGAAAAUUGUGAAAAAUAUGAAAAAAAACAUUAGGAGGUGAAAACUCAAACUUCUGAGGCGAAUUUGGGGAUUCUAAAAUUAUCGAACUCGCCAAUGGCAAUAGACAGAUCCAAAUUUUUUUUCUGAUCGAUUCUGGUAUAUGGAACGUCAAAAUUAGAGUUCGUAUGCGAAGGUUAUGGCUGUUUUACGAACGGACUCCGAAUUAGAGAACAAAAGGGUCCGAAAGUGAGAAACAUUUGCGGUGGUGGCUAGAAAUUGAUGGAAACAGUGGGAAAAAAUACACAAACUGGACUGUAACAAGACCUAACCAGUAUCAAGACGUCGACCAGGACACAAACUCAAUACUACGGACUCUGAAACUGAAAUAUGCAAAGGCUAUGGCGCGGAUGGGUUGUAGGACACGAAAACAAUAUGGCACUAGACUUAUGGGAUGAACACAAGGACACUUGAAACUAAGGAUAGAUGUGAACCUAACGGUAUGUCUGAAGCUUUGAUUACCACUUGAAGAGAACAAGUGUGGCCCGAUCUUCCGAAAGUUUCUCGUAACUAUCGAUUUGGUGGAAACGAGAGACAUAUCAAUCCAGCUUGCGAACAACACAAUUCGAAACCCUGCAAUUCUUUUUAUUUUUAUUUUUUUGAUAUUUUUCAUUUAUUUAGGAGCACUUAAAAAGUAACCACAGGAAAUUUGAGCUUAAACAAGUGAAAGACGUGGCCUGUGGAUUUUUUUGAAGAUUGUGAAAAAUAUGAAAAAAAACUUUAGGAGGUAAAAACUCAAACUUCAGAGGUGAAUUUGGCGAUUCUAAAAUUGUCGAACCCGCCAAAGGCAGGAUAGACAGAUCCAAAAAUUUUUUCUGAUGGAUUUUGAUAUAUGGAACGUCAAAAUUAGACUUCGUAUGCGAAAGUUAUGGCUGUUUUACGAACGAACUCCGAAUUAGAGGACAAAACGGUCCGGAAGUGGGAAAAAAUUUGCGGUGGUGGCUAGAAAUUGAUGGAAAUAGUUAGAAAAAACACACAAAUUGGACUGUAACAAGACCUAACCAGUAACAAGACCUCGACCAGGACACAAACUUAACACUACGGACUCUGAAACUGAAAUAUGCAAAGGCUAUGGCGCGGAUGGGUUGUAGGAUAUGAAAACAAUAUGGCACUAGACUUAUGGGACGAACACAAGGAAACUUGAAACUUAGGGUAGAUGUGAACCUAACCGUAUGCCUGAAGCUUUGAUUACCACUUGAGGAGAACAAGUGUGGCUCGAUCUUCCGAAAGUUUCUCGUAACUAUCGAUUUGGUGGAAACGAGAGACAUAUCAAUCCAGCUUGCGAACAACACAAUUCGAAACCCUGCAAUUCUUUUUAUUUUUACUUUUUGAUAUUUUUCUUUUACUUAGGAGUACUCAAGAAGUAACCACAGGAAAUUUGAGCUUAAACAAGUGAAAGACGUGGCCUGUGGAAUUUUUUGAAGAUUGUGAAAAAUAUGAAAAAAAAAUUUAGGACGUGAAAACUCAAACUUCAGAGGCGAAUUUGGGGAUUCUAAAAUUGUCGAACUCGCCAUAGGCGAGGAUAGAUAGAUCCAAAAAAUUUUUCUGAUCGAUUCUGGUAUAUGGAACGUCAAAGUUGGAGUUGGUAUGCGAAAGUUAUGGCUGUUUUACGAACGGACUCCGAAUUAGAGGACAAAACGGUCCGGAAGUGAGAAAAAUUUGUGGUGGUGGCUAGAAAUUGAUGGAAACAGUGGGAAAAAACACACAAACUCGACUGCAACAAGACCUAACCAGUAUCAAGACGUCGAGCAGGACACAAACUCAACACUACGGACUCUGAAACUGAAAUAUGCAAUGGCUAUGGCCCAGAUGGGUUGUAGGACAUGAAAACAAUAUGGCACUAGACUUAUGGGACGAACACAAGGACACUUGAAACUAAGGGUAGAUGUGAACCUAACGGUACGUUUGAAGCUUUGAUUACCACAUGAGGAGAACAUGUGUGGCCCGAUCUUCCGAAAGUUUCUCGUAACUAUCGAUUUGGUGGAAACGAGAGACAUAUCAAUCCAGUUUGCGAACAACACAAUUCGAACCCUGCAAUUCUUUUUUUUGAUAUUUUUCUUUUACUUAGGAGCACUCAAGAAGUAACCACAGGAAAUUUGAGCUUAGACAAGUGAAAGACGUGGCCUGUGGAAUUUUUUGAAGAUUGUCAAAAAUAUGAAAAAAAACUUUAGGAGGUGAGAGGCGAAUUUUGGGAUUCUAAAAUUGUCGAACCUGCCAUAGGCAGAGAUAGACAGAUCCAAAUUUUUUUUCUCUGAACGAUUUUGAUAUAUGGAACGUCAAAAUUAGAGUUCGUAUGCGAAAGUUAUGGCUGUUUUACCAACGGACUCCGAAUUAGAGGACAAAACGGUCCGGAAGUGGGAAAAAUUUAGGGUAGUGGCUAGAAAUUGAUGGAAACAGUGGGAAAAAACACACAAACUGGACUCGUAACGAGAGACAUAUCAAUCCAGCUUGCGAACAACACAAUUCGAAACCCUGCAAUGCUUUUUAUUUUUAUUUUUUGAUAUUUUUCUUUUACUUAGGAGCACUCAAGAAGUAACCACAGGAAAUUUGAGCUUAAACAAGUGAAAGACGUGGCCUGUGGAAUUUUUUGAAGAUUGUGAAAAAUAUGAAAAAAAAUUUAGGAGGUGAAAAGUCAAACUUCAGAGUUGAAUUUGGGGAUUCUAAAAUUAUCGAACCCGCCAAAGGCGGGCAUAGACGGAUCCAAAAAUUUUUUCUGAUCGAUUUUGAUAUAUGGAACGUCAAAAUUAGAGUUCGUAUGCGAAAGUAAUGGCUGUUUUACGAACGAACUCCGAAUUAGAGGACAAAACGGUCCGUAAGUGGGAAAAAUUUGCGGUGGUGGCUAGAAAUUGAUGGAAAUAGUGGGAAAAACACAUAAACUGGACUGUAACAAGACCUCGACCAGGACACAAACUCAACACUACGGACUCUGAAACUGAAAUAUGCAAAGGCUAUGGCGCGGAUAGGUUGUAGGACAUGAAAACAAUAUGGCACUAGACUUAUGGGAUGAACACAAGGACACUUGAAACUAAGGAUAGAUGUGAACCUAUGUCUGAAGCUUUGAUUACCACUUGAGGAGAACAAGUGUGGCCCGAUCUUCCGAAAGUUUUUGGUAACUAUCGAUUUGGCGGAAACGAGAGACAUGUCAAUCCAGCUUGUCAACAACACAAUUCGAAACCCUGCAAUUCUUUUUUUUGAUAUUUUUCUUUUACUUAGGAGCACUCAAUAAGUAACCACAGAAAAUUUGAGCUUAAACAAGUGAAAGACGUGGCCUGUGGAAUUUUUUGAAGAUUGUGAAAAAUAUGAAAAAAAACUUUAGGAGGUGAGAACUCAAACUUCAGAGGCGAAUUUGGGGAUUCUAAAAUUGUCGAACCCGCCAACAGCGGGCAUAGACUGAUCUAAAAAAUUUUUCUGAUGGAUUGUGAUAUAUGGAACGUCAAAAUUAGAGUUCGUAUGCGAAAGUUAUGGCUGUUUUACGAACGGACUCCGAAUUAGAGGACAAAACAGUCAGGAAGUGGGAAAAAUUUGCGGUGGUGGCUAGAAAUUGAUGGAAACAGUGAGAAAAAACACACAAACUGGACUGUAACAAGACCUAACCAGUAACAAGACCUCGACCACGGACUCUGAAACUGAAAUAUGCAAAGGCUAUGGCGCGGAUGGGUUGUAGGACAUGAAAACAAUAUGGCACUGGACUUAUGGGACGAACACAAGGACACUUGAAACUAAGGAUAGAUGUGAACCUAACGGUAUGUCUGAAGCUUUGAUUAUCACUUGAGGAGAACAAGUGUGACCAGAUCUUCCAAAAGUUUCACGUAACUAUCGAUUUGGUGGAAACGAGAGACAUAUCAAUCCAGCUUGCGAACAACACAAUUCGAAACCCUACAAUUCUUUUUAUUUUUAUUUUUUGAUAUUUUUCUUUUAUUUAGGAGCACUUAAGAAGUAACCACAGGAAAUUUGAGCUUAAACAAGUGAAAGACCUGGCCUGUGGAAUUUUUUGAAGAUUGUGAAAAAUAUGAAAAAAAAACCUUAGGAGGUGAAAACUCAAACUUCAGAGGCGAAUUUGGGGAUUCUAAAAUUGUCGAACUCGCCAAUGGCAAUAGACAGAUCCAAAUUUUUUUUCUGAUCGAUUCUGGUAUAUGGAACGUUAAAAUUGGAGUUCGUAUGCGAAGGUUAUGGCUGUUUUACGAACGGACUCCGAAUUAGAGAACAAAACGGUCUGAAAGUGAGAAAAAUUUGCGGUGGUGGCAAGAAAUUGAUGAAAACAGUGGAAAAAAAUAUACAAACUGGACUGUAACAAGACCUAACCAGUAUCAAGACGUCGACCAGGACACAAACUCAACACUACGGACUCUGAAACUGAAAUAUGCAAAGGCUAUGGCGCGGAUGGGUUGUAGGACAUGAAAACAAUAUGGCACUAGACUUAUGAGACGAACACAAGGACACUUGAAACUAAAGAUAGAUGUGAACCUAACGGUAUGUCUGAAGCUUUGAUUACCACUUGAAGAGAACAAGUGUGGCCCGAUCUUCCGAAAGUUUCUCGUAACUAUCGAUUUGGUGGAAACGAGAGACAUAUAAAUCCAGCUUGCGAACAACACAAUUCGAAACCCUGCAAUUCUUUUUAUUUUUAUUUUUUGAUAUUUUUCUUUUAUUUAGAAGCACUUAAGAAGUAACCAUAGGAAAUUUGAGCUUAAACAAGUGAGAGACGUGGCCUGUGGAAUUUUUUGAAGAUUGUGAAAAAUAUGAAAAAAAAACUUUAGGAGGUAAAAACUCAAACUUCAGAGGUGAAUUUGGGGAUUCUAAAAUUGUCGAACCCGCCAAAGGCAAGAUAGACAGAUCCAAAAUUUUUUUCUGAUCGAUUCUGGUAUAUGGAACGUCAAAAUUGGAGUUCGUAUGCGAAGGUUAUGGCUGUUUUACGAACGGACUCCGAAUUAGAGAACAAAACGGUCCGAAAGUGAGAAAAAUUUGCGGU
rnacentral:lncRNA from 1 species